GCCCCAGCCUCCCAGAGUGCUGGGAUUACAGGCAUGAGCCACCACGCCUGGCCAAGACCAUAAAUCUUAAUUAAUCUAGUUCAUAGUCUCAAAUUCAUUCUACUCUCUGAUUUUUAUUUCUCCCAACUUACUGUGUGCACGCACCCCCCCUUUUUAAUGACAUUUCUCUGAUUUGCACUGCCAUCCUCUCUCCUACUUCAGUGAUCCAGCAUCCACAAUUCAUUUUGUCAUAGGUGAGGCUUACCUCUUUCCUGUCAGUUCUUCACCUGUACAGAUUGCUUCCUUUUCUCUUUUUGCACUUAUUGUUUGCAACACCCAAUGACUUCUUGUAGAGAGCCCAAUUCUGUAGUUGAUAAAACCCACACAUGCACGUAUGUUACAUCUGGCUCGGAAUUGGAAGCUCCAUGGAGAAAGGAAAUGGCUUUUGUUUCUUCAGUAUCUUCACACUCCCAAAUGUGCUGAUAUCUUUAGUCGUUCUUAGCUAAAUGAGUCAAUUGAAAUAAUAAUCUGGAGGGAUUUUUUUAAAUCUCAAAAAUUUUCUAAGUCCCAUGUCUCUUAAAUGAAAAAUUGUCAAAUGAAGGAGCCAUUUUCAGGAUUUUAAUUUAUGUAUUAAUGGUACUCUACUUCCACCCCAAAAGGAUUUAAGGUGAGCUUAAAAUAUUAUGAAAAUAAGAUAAGAUUAUUAAUUCCAUCCAUGCAAGCUCUAAAAUCUUCUAUUUCUAGAUACUAAUCUAAACAAUGAAGAGGUUAUUUUUUAAAGACAAAAGGUGUGCUUUAUAAUAUCUCUCAUUAUCAUGUUAAGAAAAAAAACCAAAAACACAGAUAAAAAAUUUCAGAAAUAUUUUUGCGUUUUCUUUGCAUAUCAUACACAUACACACACACACAUACAUACAUACACAGUCACACUAGAACUGUACUGGCAGUGAACAUAGGUUGUUUAAAGUAUAGCUAUUCAACUGUCAUAUAAAGUGAAAUCUAUAUUUUCUCUCUCCCUAUAUGACUAUAUAUUUAACAUCUCUAUGCAUAUGUGUGUGCAUACAUAUGUAUAUGUUAUAUACACACACUCCACAUUAUUAUUUCAAAGGGGAUUUUGCUCCUUCUGGCUACCAGCAAUAACUAGUCAAUAUUUACACUCUUGAAUAUCGAUGACAUCAUGCAUACACAGGAAAGCUGUGGAAAACAUCUCCAUUUUCAAACAGAGUUUUAAUUAUUUGUAAAGACUUCAAUUGUUCACUAAUGUCAUGGAUUGGUCCUCACAGUGUGAAGUGCAACUGCCCAGAUCCCCCACAGUAUUAUAAAUAGUCUUCUAAAGCCGGGUUGAUUGAUGUUUGGCAUAAAACUCUAUUCCUCUGAGCACAUAUAUUCCUUCUGUUCACUAUUUUCAUAGAAAAAUACCAGGGCUGAUUUUUUAUUCAAAUCUCCAAUUUAUGCAGGGUUUAAACUACUAAAUACUUAAAGCCGUUUUCAGAUCUUUCCCCCCUUUUCUGUUAGGUAGGUAACUAAAUCUUUGGCUUCAAUGCAAAUAAGAAUUGGAGAUUUAGCAGAUUCCUGUGGGGGAGAGGAAGAGUUUAUUAAUUAUAUUGAGAAUCAAAUAAUAUGCUUCUUUGACACUAAUGUUCCAUCUUUCUCCACCCCAAGUAUCCUAUGGGACAACUUUAAAGCCUUUAUCAGGGUCUAAAUUACUGCAUUUAUGGUUCCUUAGAAGUAGGAAUUUAAUGAAUGGCAUUCUGAGUUGAAGAGAGAAUUUGAAGGUUUAAGCUGCAACGGUGAAGCAAUUUUUUUCAAAGUAUGUGGCAGGGAUUGUAAUAUAAAACAUCAAAAAAAGCACAAUAAAAUACAUUUUCAUGAGUGUUAAUAAAUUUUUAAUACUGAUGAAAUGUAAAUUUUUCCUUCAUGACCCUUAUCUGCAUUUGACAGAGUCCAACAGAAAAUUUUAAGUACCUGUUUAAAGCAAUUUACAAGAUACUGUGGAGAUUCCCAGCAAUAAAGAAUGUACUAUAGUUAAGCUGGAAUCCAACUCCUGAAUUUCUGGAGCCCUGAAGACCACUUAGUCUUACUCACAAGAAUUGAAUGGAAUGUGAAUCUACACUCAGGUGAAGCCAGGGUAUUUUGAACGUCCCUACAAGACUGAAGCACCACUGGGAAAUAAGUAAUAGAGAUGCCAUCAUUGUGGAGGUCAUAAUGCUUGUCCUGAACACGAGGGGUCUCUAGUGAGGCACCAAUUCAGCUCCUCUUCUGUGGAGAGACUACAUGGGUGCUGAAGAAACAAAGACACAACGCAGCUCCUCUCAAAGGAGUUCAGAGCUUAGCAGGGGAGACAGAACCAUGAAUGCAUAGUUACGCAUCAAUGUGCUGCACGAGCACUGAAGCCCAAGCACAAGCGGCCUGAGUCCCAAAAACAUUUGCUGACUGCUGUUCUAUCUAGGAUAUCAUCAGUGUGUAGAUGAUCAGAGUUCAUGUCAGUGUUCCUACAAGCCAAUGAAGGCAUUGCGCAAUUCAGCCUUGCGGUUUUCGUUUCUUUGACUUCGUGAUGUGAGGGAAGCUGGCAUGUUUUCUAAUGUGCUGUUGUGUGGGCUUGGGCUGUUGAUUGCUUUUGGCCUAGGUGCUGUGCAGAGCUCCAAGGUUUGGCUUUGUAAACGCUGCCUGGCAAAACGGAAACAUUUUGUGAAAUUUGACAAAUGUCACACACACCCGCACACACACACAUUUUAAAUUGCAAAAUUCUCCCCUUGGCACACAGUUUUCCCCGGGUUUUUAUUCUUCAUAAUAAAUCUUUAACCAUCUUCGUGUCUAUAUGAGCUCUUUAGUGGAUGGACGUGCUUUUGCUUUGAUGAGACUUGCAGUUAAAAAGCCCUUGGUUUCCAGGAUAUCCUUAUUGUUUUUCUUUUCUCAAAAAAUUAAUGUGAUAUUUUAUUCCAAUGAGAAAGCAGUCUUAUUUCAUUUCCAACUGCUUUCUCAGACAAAGAUUCCCACCGAAAGCCAUUCUCCAACAUGGGACCCCUAGAAACUGACCUCUUGGCUUCUCUCUUCUGAACUCAGAGUGAGACACAGGGGAGUGGAAUUCAGAGAAAAACUGGGUGAAUUAAAUUCUUUUCGUGCAUGAGUUAAAGCAUCUAAGAAACUAUAAUAUGAGUGCUUAAUCUCAAGAAAAAUCUUGGUAUAUUUUAGUACAUUUUCCUUCAUGGGUAGCUAAAAGCACUUCACAAACAAAUCAUUGACUUUAGAAUGAGGGGACAAAUAUGAUUGUCCCUAGGUCACAGAUGACAUUAAAUCCUGGGGAGGUAAGCUUUUGCUUAAGGUCAUUCAGGGUGUCAGCAGGGGUGAGGCGGGCUUUAAUUUUAUGGUUGGGGUAUCUGUUUCAAGUCUUCUGCCAAUUUUAAGACAUGCCUCUGGCUUAAGAAAACUCUUCCAAUUUGACUACCCUAAUUUGCAUCCCUCUCUGGAUUUCCAGCUCUACUUUCUAGUUUCCUGGCACUCUAAUUACUCAGGCGUUACUUCUGACAAUGACCCCCAACUCUCAUCCCUUCAGCUUGACUCCAGGGUCCUCGCACCUGUGAGCUACCGUCCCUGGCAGCCUCGAGUAGACGGGCUCGGCUGCCCUAUGCAUUGAGCAGAGCCCUUCCUGGUUCAGACCUUUUAGGGCAACAGCAAUUUGGCAGCCUUCUCUAGAUCCAGGGUUGCAAGAGCAAUCAGGCCGAACGGGACUGCUUCAGCCAUACUGUUGAAACACAUCAUAUUGCCUGGAGAGCAGACAGUGCCAUUCAGAAACUCUAAAGAGAAAAUGUAGUGCCUUUAUUUUGUCAGUUACAGAUCUGGCUUUUCUCCUAAGUCUCCAACUGUCAGAGAGAAAAAGAAACUAAGUGUUCGAUUCCAUAAUUUUAAUAGUGCCAUAGGUUAUGCUCAGUGUUUUGGGGUGAUUGCUUAGAAUGUCUCAUGGAAAUGUUAGGGCUAAAAAUGUGUGCUCCAGAGACAGAUUGACUGGGUUUAAACCAUGGGGUUGCCUUUGAGUCAAUCUGUGGCCUUGCACAAGGGACAGGGACACUCAGCACUUCAGUUUCUCUGUGUGUAAACCAGA
rnacentral:lncRNA from 1 species